rnacentral:rRNA from 1 species
UACAGAGGUCUCAAGCGUUGUUCGGAUUCAUUGGGCGUAAAGGGUGCGUAGGUGGCGUGGUAAGUCUGGUGUGAAAUCCCGGGGCUCAACCCCGGAACUGCACUGGAUACUGCCAUGCUUGAGUACUGGAGAGGAGAUUGGAAUUUACGGUGUAGCAGUGAAAUGCGUAGAUAUCGGAAGGAAGACCAGUGGCGAAGGCGAAUCUCUGGACAGUUACUGACACUGAGGCACGAAGGCCAGGGGAGCAAACGGG